GUCUUCUUGAUAAUAUUUUGAAGUCUGACCUGCUCACUACAUAAUUUAAAGAGCCGCGGUAUAUUGACCGUGCAAAGGUAGCAUAAUCAUUAGUUUCUUAAUUAGGGGCUUGAAUGAAUGGUUUGACGAGAAAUUAACUGUCUCUUAAUAAUUUUUAGAAUUUAACUUUUGAGUUAGAAGGCUUAAAUUUUUUUUUAGGACGAGAAGACCCUAUAGAGCUUUACAUUUAAAGAUUUAUAUUAUUUUAGAUUUUUAAAUAUAAUUUUUAUAAUGUUAGGUUGGGGUGACAUGAAGAAUAAUUAAACUCUUCAUUAUUAAAUCAUUGAUUUAUGUUUAUUUGAUCCAUAAUUUAUGAUCAAAAGAUUAAGUUACCUUAGGGAUAACAGCGUAAUCAUUUUUGAGAGUUCAUAUCGACAAAAUGGAUUGCGACCUCGAUGUUGGAUUAAGAUUAUUUUUAGGUGUAGUAGCUUAAAAAUUAGGACUGUUCGACCUUUAAAGUCUU
rnacentral:rRNA from 1 species